rnacentral:sRNA from 1 species
GGGACGCGGCCCGGAGCUGGGAAGAUGGCGAAGCGGCUCUGCGCGGGAGCGCACUGUGUGUUCGCGGCCCCCGGGGCCCCGCACCGCUGCUGCUGGUCGGACUGGCGCUGCUGGGCGCGGCGCGGGCGCGGGAGGAGGCGGGCGGCGGCUUCAGCCUGCACCCGCCCUACUUCAACCUGGCCGAGGGCGCCCGCAUCGCCGCCUCCGCGACCUGCGGAGAGGAGGCCCCGGCGCGCGGCUCCCCGCGCCCCACCGAAGACCUUUACUGCAAGCUGGUGGGGGGCCCCGUGGCCGGCGGCGACCCCAACCAGACCAUCCAGGGCCAGUACUGCGACAUCUGCACGGCUGCGAACAGCAACAAGGCACACCCCGCGAGCAAUGCCAUCGACGGCACGGAGCGCUGGUGGCAGAGCCCACCGCUGUCCCGCGGCCUGGAGUACAACGAGGUCAAUGUCACCCUGGACCUGGGCCAGGUCUUCCAUGUGGCCUACGUCCUCAUCAAGUUUGCCAACUCACCCCGGCCGGACCUCUGGGUGCUGGAGCGGUCCAUGGACUUCGGCCGCACCUACCAGCCCUGGCAGUUCUUUGCCUCCUCAAAGAGGGACUGUCUGGAGCGGUUCGGGCCACAGACGCUGGAGCGCAUCACACGGGACGACGCGGCCAUCUGCACCACCGAGUACUCACGCAUCGUGCCCCUGGAGAACGGAGAGAUCGUGGUGUCCCUGGUGAACGGACGUCCGGGCGCCAUGAAUUUCUCCUACUCGCCGCUGCUACGUGAGUUCACCAAGGCCACCAACGUCCGCCUGCGCUUCCUGCGCACCAACACGCUGCUGGGGCACCUCAUGGGGAAGGCGCUGCGGGACCCCACGGUCACCCGCCGGUAUUAUUACAGCAUCAAGGAUAUCAGCAUUGGAGGCCGCUGUGUCUGCCAUGGCCACGCAGAUGCCUGUGAUGCCAAAGACCCCACGGACCCGUUCAGGCUGCAGUGCACCUGCCAGCACAACACCUGUGGGGGCACCUGCGACCGCUGCUGCCCCGGCUUCAACCAGCAGCCGUGGAAGCCUGCGACUGCCAACAGUGCCAACGAGUGCCAGUCCUGUAACUGCCACGGCCAUGCCACCGACUGUUACUACGACCCUGAGGUGGACCGGCGCCGCGCCAGCCAGAGCCUGGAUGGCACCUAUCAGGGUGGGGGUGUCUGUAUCGACUGCCAGCACCACACCACUGGCGUCAACUGUGAGCGCUGCCUGCCCGGCUUCUACCGCUCUCCCAACCACCCACUCGACUCGCCCCACGUCUGCCGCCGCUGCAACUGCGAGUCCGACUUCACAGAUGGCACCUGCGAGGACCUGACGGGUCGCUGCUACUGCCGGCCCAACUUCUCUGGGGAGCGGUGUGACGUGUGUGCCGAGGGCUUCACAGGCUUCCCAAGCUGCUACCCGACGCCCUCGUCGUCCAAUGACACCAGGGAGCAGGUGCUGCCAGCUGGCCAGAUUGUGAAAAAUACAAAAAUUAGCCGGGCGCGUAGUGAUGUGUGCCUGUAGUUUGAGCUACUCCGGAGGCUGAGGUGGAAGGAUUGCUUGAGCCUCCAAGGCCAAGGCUGCAGUGAGCCAUGAUCACACCACAGCACUCCAGCCUGGGCAACAGAGUGAGACCUUGUUUCAAAAAAGAAA